GAUGAACGCUGGCGGCGUGCCUAAUACAUGCAAGUCGAGCGAACAGACGAGGAGCUUUCUCCUUUGACGUUAGCGGCGGACGGGUGAGUAACACGUGGGUAACCUACCUAUAAGACUGGGAUAACUUCGGGAAACCGGAGCUAAUACCGGAUAAUAUUUCGAACCGCAUGGUUCGAUAGUGAAAGAUGGCUUUGCUAUCACUUAUAGAUGGACCUGCGCCGUAUUAGCUAGUUGGUAAGGUAACGGCUUACCGAGGCAACGAUACGUAGCCGACCUGAGAGGGUGAUCGGCCACACUGGAACUGAGACACGGUCCAGACUCCUACGGGAGGCAGCAGUAGGGAAUCUUCCGCAAUGGGCGAAAGCCUGACGGAGCAACGCCGCGUGAGUGAUGAAGGUCUUCGGAUCGUAAAACUCUGUUAUUAGGGAAGAACAAACGUGUAAGUAACUGUGCACUUCUUGACGGUACCUAAUCAGAAAGCCACGGCUAACUACGUG
rnacentral:rRNA from 1 species